rnacentral:tmRNA from 2 species
GGGGCUGAUCGGUAUCGAUGGGAGCCUCUUCAUAAUGAUCAAGCCGUGUGGGCACGACCGCACGUACUCAAACUCGUGCACGACGACAACUGCAAACAACGUCAUGGCAAUGAUCAAGAACGCACUACGCGUUCCUUCAUUUGCUCCUGUCCUCGCCUAAGGGUUUGAAGGACCAUCCAAGUUGGUUUUGCUCAAUAGCCAACAUCUGGGUGUUAUAUUUUUGAGCUUUGAGCGCGAAGUCACCGAUCUUUCGCGCACAAGAGUUGCGAUCGGUUCCUAAACACGUAUUGCGUCACACCUUCAGCGUGUGUAGGUAUUCCAGGUGUGAAUGAGCUUGGAAACGUCAUUGUGAAAAACCUUACCACACAGGGGUUCAAUUCCCCUCAGCUCCACCA